rnacentral:tmRNA from 1 species
GGGGCUGACCGGCUUUGACAGCGUGUAGAAGUGGUGCGCAAGCGUGCAGAGCAAUGAUGCCAAAGCUCUUUAAUAUCGACAUCGACCAAUUUAAAUGGCGAAAACAACUACGCUCUCGCUGCCUAAUCGAAGCACAGUAGAUUAGCUUUAUCCCCGCAACAGUUGCAGGGACGAGACAUCGCCCGAUUGUCCUUUUUCCGAGACGGAUCGACAAGGCGGUGCAGUUAAAUCGGAAAUAGUACGGCUCUUGCCUCGCGGGCCGUGCGAAACCUUAGAGGCUAAGGCAGCGGUUGGUCGUCCCGGCCUGCCGCCGCACAAAAACCAAUCGGAGACUACGCACGUAGAAACCGCCCCAAUUCCGCGUUUGGACGAGGGUUCAACUCCCUCCAGCUCCACA